rnacentral:rRNA from 1 species
AGUGAACGCUGGCGGCAGGCCUAACACAUGCAAGUCGAACGGCAGCACAGCAGUAGCAAUACUGUGGGUGGCGAGUGGCGGACGGGUGAGGAAUGCAUCGGAAUCUGCCUAUUUGUGGGGGAUAACGUAGGGAAACUUACGCUAAUACCGCAUACGACCUACGGGUGAAAGUGGGGGACCGCAAGGCCUCACGCAGAUAGAUGAGCCGAUGCCGGAUUAGCUAGUUGGCGGGGUAAAGGCCUACCAAGGCGACGAUCCGUAGCUGGUCUGAGGGGAUGAACAGCCACACUGGAACUGAGACACGGUCCAGACGCCUAAGGGAGGCAGCAGUGGGGAAUAUUGGACAAUGGGCGCAAGCCUGAUCCAGCCAUGCCGCGUGAGUGAAGAAGGCCUUCGGGUUGUAAAGCUCUUUUGUCCGGAAAGAAAAGCUUCGGGUUAAUAACCCGGGGUCACGACGGUACCGGAAGAAUAAGCACCGGCUAACUUCGUGCCAGCCGCCGCGGUAAGAC